rnacentral:rRNA from 1 species
AGAGUUUGAUCCUGGCUCAGGAUGAACGCUAGCGGCAGGCUUAACACAUGCAAGUCGAAGGGCAGCGAGGGGAGUGCUUGCACUCCCUGUCGGCGACUGGCGCACGGGUGAGUAACACGUAUGCAACCUGCCCUCCACAGGGGGACAACCUUCCGAAAGGGAGGCUAAUCCCGCGUAAAUCCCGCGGAGGCAUCUCCGUGGGAGGAAAACUCCGGUGGUGGAGGAUGGGCAUGCGGCGCAUUAGGCAGUCGGCGGGGUAACGGCCCACCGAACCGACGAUGCGUAGGGGUUCUGAGAGGAAGGUCCCCCACACUGGUACUGAGACACGGACCAGACUCCUACGGGAGGCAGCAGUGAGGAAUAUUGGUCAAUGGGCGGGAGCCUGAACCAGCCAAGUCGCGUGAGGGAAGACGGCCCUACGGGUUGUAAACCUCUUUUGUCAGGGAGCAAGAACAGGCACGCGUGCCUGACUGAGAGUACCUGAAGAAAAAGCAUCGGCUAACUCCGUGCCAGCAGCCGCGGUAAUACGGAGGAUGCGAGCGUUAUCCGGAUUUAUUGGGUUUAAAGGGUGCGUAGGCGGACUGCCAAGUCAGCGGUAAAAUUGCGGGGCUCAACCCCGUCGAGCCGUUGAAACUGGUGGUCUUGAGUGGGCGAGAAGUACGCGGAAUGUGUGGUGUAGCGGUGAAAUGCAUAGAUAUCACGCAGAACUCCGAUUGCGAAGGCAGCGUACCGGCGCCCUACUGACGCUGAAGCACGAAAGCGUGGGUAUCGAACAGGAUUAGAUACCCUGGUAGUCCACGCAGUAAACGAUGAAUGCUAGCUGUCCGGGACGAAUGAGUCCUGGGUGGCACAGCGAAAGCGUUAAGCAUUCCACCUGGGGAGUACGCCGGCAACGGUGAAACUCAAAGGAAUUGACGGGGGC